CAUGCAGUCGAACGGGAUAGAACUUAGCAAUAGGUUCUUGAGAGUGGCGCACGGGUGCGUAACACGUAUGCAACCUACCUUUAACUGGGGGAUAGCCUCUCGAAAGAGAGAUUAAUACCCCAUAGUAUAAUUAGAGAGCAUUUUCUGAUUAUUAAAGAUUUAUCGGUUAAAGAUGGGCAUGCGGCUGAUUAGGUAGUUGGUGGGGUAAAGGCCCACCAAGCCAACGAUCUGUAGCUGGUCUGAGAGGACGACCAGCCACACUGGGACUGAGACACGGCCCAGACUCCUACGGGAGGCAGCAGUGGGGAAUAUUGGGCAAUGGAGGAAACUCUGACCCAGCGACGCCGCGUGCGGGAUGAAGGCCUUCGGGUUGUAAACCGCUUUCAGUAGGGAAGAAGCGAAAGUGACGGUACCUACAAAAGAAGCACCGGCUAACUAUGUGCCAGCAGCCGCGGUAAUACAUAGGGUGCAAGCGUUGUCCGGAAUUAUUGGGCGUAAAGAGCUCGUAGGUCGUUUGUUACGUCGGAUGUGAAAACCUGAGGCUCAACCUCAGGCCUGCAUUCGAUACGGGGCAAACUAGAGUUUGGUAGGGGAGACUGGAAUUCCUGGUGU
rnacentral:rRNA from 1 species